ACCUACCAUUCCUGGCUGAAAGAGGUAAGAACUUCACUACUCUUCUCCUGCUCAUGUGCGUUAUUGUUUUUGCCUUCUUUAUUCACCUUUUUGUGGAUGUAUAAUGAGGAUUAAGACAACAGAACUGAAUAAGCUGAAUUUAACAAAUGGUUUAUCACUGGCCUGAUCUGGAGAGUCCUUGGCACUUUCUGCAUGAAAGUGAAUCUCAAAAUUGCCAAUAUUCUUC
rnacentral:misc_RNA from 1 species